CAAUAGAGGUGCGGACAGCAGGGUACCCGUUCGACCGGCAUGGGCAGCCGGAAACGUCGUGCGGGAAAGGGGCCGUUCGCCGAAGGGACCGGAAGCGCCCGAUCCGGUUUCUGGCAUCGCCGUGCAAGCGGCGCUGCUGUCAUGUUUCAGCAACAUGGAGCGCUAUUGGU
rnacentral:ncRNA from 1 species